GAAACCGGCGCGGGGCUGAGAAUGCCGGUCUCGCGCAAGCGCGCACGCGCCGACCUUGAUCUCGUAGCCGGCGCCAGCAGCCGCGCUUUGGGGCGUCGGCUCACGUGGGGCCGGCAACGCGUCUUCCAGGAUGUUCGCGCGCUAGUCGCCGCUGAGGGGCCGGCGAUGCGCGAGGAGUUCCGGCGAGGAAGGUCGGAACAGAAUUGCCAUUGGGCCCAGGGAGAGACUACACUUCUUGUCUGCUUUGUUGCUAGUGCGGCCUUGUGGCCAAGCACAGAACGUGUGCAGUGAUGAUGGUGCAACUUCUAGGUCGUCCCCAGCAUGGAAAAUGAGCCCUGGGCAUGGAAGAUGAGCCCUGGUCCUGCAGCGGUGCUCUUUCCUCUUCUCACAAGCUGGAAUGUGCAUGUGCUCCCACCCAGCUUUGACCAUGGGGCGAAAACAGUACUCUGCAGUCUGGCAGAGCAACAAGGUGGAAAGGGCCUGGGUCCUUGAGUGACGUCAUGAGCCCUCUCACUGUCCCGACUUUGGGACUGUUAUAUGAUAAGGACUUUCUGUGAGUCACUGUCUUUUAGAGUCUCUCUGUUUUAGCUGCCUGGACUUUAUCCUGAAUAAUAUGGCUGUUAUCAUGGGUAUAGUGUUACUAUGAGCCUCAUCUAAGUAAUUUCUACUCUGCCUUUGACCACUAAACUCAUGUUGGACAAGAGUCACUUAGCAUUAUUUUUUCCUCAAUGAAGAGGUUAAGAUGGAGGGAGCAGGAGAAAUUGAGGCCUGUGUUUUACCAGAAGGUGAAGGGCUGUCUUUGCCUUUCCUACAUUUAUGAAGGAUAAUUCUAGACAAAAACAUUAAGUUCAUAUCAAACCAUCUGCUUUGUGAAGCCAUGGGCUUUGCUAGAACUUUCUGUGACAUGACAUUUAUUAACCCGAGUCUACCUGGAAGUUAGAGCUGAGGAAGUUUUCCUAGAGUGGAAAAAGUCCAAUGCACUUGUAAAAGUCAGACCAAGCUCAGCUCAGAUUUCAGUUUUAUUAGAAGUAUGUCACCUUCCUGAGCCCUUAUUAUUUCCCCAUCUGUGAAAUGAGGACACCGUUCUCUCUUUCUAAGCAUUGCUGGGAAGACCACACACCACUGAGACAGAAGGUGGGGCUAGCGCAGUUCUGGGCAUUUUGUACACCCCC
rnacentral:lncRNA from 10 species